ensembl:snRNA U2 U2 spliceosomal RNA
AUCGCUUCUCGGCCUUUUGGCUAAGAUCAAGUGUAGUAUGAGUGCAUACCAUGUGUGUUUUUCUGUGAUUGGGUUACCUCACUCAGGAUGAUAUUUUCCAGUUCCGACCAUUUGCCUACGAAUUUCAUAAAGUCAUUGUUUUUGAUAGCUGAGUAAUA